rnacentral:rRNA from 1 species
GACAAACCGGAGGAAGGUGGGGAUGACGUCAAGUCAUCAUGGCCCUUACGGCCUGGGCUACACACGUGCUACAAUGGUCGGUACAAAGGCUUGCCAAGCCGCGAGGUGGAGCUAAUCCCAUAAAACCGAUCGUAGUCCGGAUCGCAGUCUGCAACUCGACUGCGUGAAGUCGGAAUCGCUAGUAAUCGUGAAUCAGAAUGUCACGGUGAAUACGUUCCCGGGCCUU